CCUCGGGAGGCAGCAGUGGGGAAUAUUGCACAAUGGGGGGAACCCUGAUGCAGCAAUGCCGCGUGGGUGAAGAAGCACUCCGGUGCGUAAAGCCCUGUCAGCAGGGAAGAAAAUGACAGUACCUGACCAAGAAGCCCCGGCUAACUACGUGCCAGCAGCCGCGGUAAUACGUAGGGGGCAAGCGUUAUCCGGAUUUACUGGGUGUAAAGGGAGCGUAGACGGCAGCGCAAGUCUGGAGUGAAAUGCCGGGGCCCAACCCCGGAACUGCUCUGGAACCUGUGAAGCUGGAGUGCAGGAGAGGUAAG
rnacentral:rRNA from 1 species